rnacentral:rRNA from 1 species
AGAGUUUGAUCCUGGCUCAGGAUGAACGCUGACAGAAUGCUUAACACAUGCAAGUCUACUUGAUCCUUCGGGUGAAGGUGGCGGACGGGUGAGUAACGCGUAAAGAACUUGCCUUACAGACUGGGACAACAUUUGGAAACGAAUGCUAAUACCGGAUAUUAUGACUGGGUCGCAUGAUCUGGUUAUGAAAGCUAUAUGCGCUGUGAGAGAGCUUUGCGUCCCAUUAGUUAGUUGGUGAGGUAACGGCUCACCAAGACGAUGAUGGGUAGCCGGCCUGAGAGGGUGAACGGCCACAAGGGGACUGAGACACGGCCCUUACUCCUACGGGAGGCAGCAGUGGGGAAUAUUGGACAAUGGACCAAAAGUCUGAUCCAGCAAUUCUGUGUGCACGAAGAAGUUUUUCGGAAUGUAAAGUGCUUUCAGUUGGGAAGAAGUCAGUGACGGUACCAACAGAAGAAGCGACGGCUAAAUACGUGCCAGCAGCCGCGGUAAUACGUAUGUCGCAAGCGUUAUCCGGAUUUAUUGGGCGUAAAGCGCGUCUAGGCGGUUUAGUAAGUCUGAUGUGAAAAUGCGGGGCUCAACCCCGUAUUGCGUUGGAAACUGCUAAACUAGAGUACUGGAGAGGUAGGCGGAACUACAAGUGUAGAGGUGAAAUUCGUAGAUAUUUGUAGGAAUGCCGAUGGGGAAGCCAGCCUACUGGACAGAUACUGACGCUAAAGCGCGAAAGCGUGGGUAGCAAACAGGAUUAGAUACCCUGGUAGUCCACGCCGUAAACGAUGAUUACUAGGUGUUGGGGGUCGAACCUCAGCGCCCAAGCUAACGCGAUAAGUAAUCCGCCUGGGGAGUACGUACGCAAGUAUGAAACUCAAAGGAAUUGACGGGGACCCGCACAAGCGGUGGAGCAUGUGGUUUA